rnacentral:pre_miRNA from 1 species
AGUGGGAUAACUGGGUCAAAUGGUGGUUCCAUUCCAUACUGAGGAAUCUUUAUACUGCUUUCCAGAGUGGUUGCACCGAUUUGCAGUCCCACCAGCAAU